UACGGGGGGGGCAAGCGUUGUUCGGAAUUACUGGGCGUAAAGGGCGCGUAGGCGGCCUGCUAAGUCACACGUGAAAUCCCUCGGCUCAACCGGGGAACUGCGUGUGAUACUGGCGGGCUUGAAUUCGGGAGAGGGAUGUGGAAUUCCAGGUGUAGCGGUGAAAUGCGUAGAUAUCUGGAGGAACACCGGUGGCGAAGGCGGCAUCCUGGACCGGUAUUGACGCUGAUGCGCGAAAGCCAGGGGAGCAAACGGG
rnacentral:rRNA from 1 species